GGUAUUGAAAUAAGAUUUUAAAUGAGUGCUAAGAGAAUGAUUAAACAAUUAAAAACUUUCUUUAAUUAAAUAAUUAAAUUUAAUUUUUUUGUGCAAAAGCAAAAAUAAAAUUUAGGGACAAGAAGACCCUAUGAAUUUUUAUUAUUAAUGUUUUGCAAUUAAAUUAUUAAUAAUUUAAUUGGGGCGAUAAAAAAAGAAUAAAUAUCUUUUUAAUUAUUAAAUAAGUUCCGUUUUUAGCGAUUAAAUGAAAAAAAUACUCUAGGGAUAACAGCGUAAUAAUUUUGGAUAGUUCAUAUAGAUAAAAUAGUUUGCGACCUCGAUGUUGGAUUAGGAUUCUUUUUUGGUGUAGAA
rnacentral:rRNA from 1 species